AGAAUCAACGCUGGCGGCGUGCCUAACACAUGCAAGUCGAACGAGAAAGUGGAGCAAUCCAUGAGUAAAGUGGCGCACGGGUGAGUAACACGUGACUAACCUACCCUUGAGUGGGGGAUAACCUAGGGAAACCUGGGCUAAUACCGCAUAAUACCUUCGGGUCAAAGGAGCAAUUCGCUUAAGGAGGGGGUCGCGGCCGAUUAGUUAGUUGGCGGGGUAAUGGCCCACCAAGACUGUGACCGGUAUCC
rnacentral:rRNA from 1 species